CCUCUCCUGAUGAUGUCAGGAGGAGGGGGCGUGACUUCCUCUGCUCUUCUCCCAGACUCCCCAACGGUCCUGGGAGAAGAGCAGUGAAAGUCACUCCCCGUCCUCCUGACAUCAUCAGGAGAGGCCGGCCGAGGCAGGGGAUUCAAAUUUUUCCUUUUUUUGGCU